rnacentral:tRNA from 1 species
AUUUAAAUAGUUUAAUAAAAACAUUGGUCUUGUAAACCAAAAUUAAAAAAAUUUUUUUUUAAAUG